UACGGGGGAUGCAAGCGUUAUCCGGAAUCAUUGGGCGUAAAGCGCCUGUAGGUUGUUUAAUAAGUCUGUUGUUAAAGACUAGGGCUUAACCCUGGGAAAGCAAUGGAAACUACUAGACUAGAGUAUGGCAGGGGUAGAGGGAAUUUCUAGUGUAGCGGUGAAAUGCGUAGAUAUUAGAAAGAACACCGGUGGCGAAAGCGCUCUACUGGACCAUUACUGACACUCAGAGGCGAAAGCUAGGGUAGCAAAAGGGAUUAGAUACCCCUGUAGUCCUAGCCGUAAACGAUGGAUACUAGAUGUUGUGCUUAAUGUACAGUGUCCUAGCUAACGCGUUAAGUAUCCCGCCUGGGGAGUACGCUCGCAAGGGUG
rnacentral:rRNA from 1 species